rnacentral:rRNA from 1 species
UUUGAGGAUUUGAUCAUGGUCCAGGAUGAACGCUGGCGGUGUGGAUAAGGCAUGCAAGUCGUGCGGACGCAAUUGUUGCGUUAGCGGCGAACGAGUUAGUAAUACCCUAGUACAUACCUCGAAGAGGGAAAUAACUGGUCGAAAGAUCGGCUAAUGUCCCAUAGUCCCGCAAGGGUAAAGUCGCAAGACGCUUCGAGAUUGGCUUCGGUCCUAUCAGCUAGUUGGUGAGGUAAUGGCUCACCAAGGCUACGACGGGUAGGGGGGCUGAGAGGCUGUUCCCCAACGACGAGACUGAGACACGGCUCGUACACCUACGGGUGGCAGCAGUCAAGAACAUUCGACAAUGGACGAAAGUCUGAUCGAGCGACACCGCGUGCAGGAUGAAGGGCUUCGGUCUGUAAACUGCUUUUCUCUCCGAGAAAGCCGCAAGGUUGAUGGUAGGAGAGGAAUAAGAAGCGGCUAACUUCGUGCCAGCAGCAGCGGUAAUACGAAGGCUUCAAGCGUUAUCCGGAUUUAUUGGGCGUAAAGCGUGCGUAGGAGGUGUGAUGCGUCUUGUUUUAAAUGUCCGGGCUUAACCUGGUCGCUGGACAAGAUACGGUCACACUAGAGGAUGCUAGAGGUAAGCGGAACACACGGUGUAGGGGUGAAAUCCGUUGAUAUCGUGUGGAACACCGAAGGCGAAGGCAGCUUACUGGGGCACUCCUGACUCUCAGUGCACGAAAGCGUGGGGAGCAAAAAGGAUUAGAUACCCUUGUAGUCCACGCCCUAAACGAUGCACACUAGCUGUUUCGAGUAUCGACCCUCGGAGUGGCGUAGCUAACGCGUUAAGUGUGCCGCCUGGGAAGUACGGCCGCAAGGCUAAAACUCAAAUGAAUAGACGGGGACUCGCACAAGCGGUGGAACAUGAGGUUUAAUUCGACGGUAAACGAAGAACCUUACCAGGGCUUGAAAUGCUCUUGAAGGAUUCCGGAAACGGGAUUCGUCGUAGUGCAAAUUACGACAAGAGCACAGGUGUUGCAUGGUUUGAAUUAUGGUCGUCAGCUCGUAUCGUGAGACGUUCCCUUAAGUGGGGUAACGAGCGCAACCCCCAUCCAAUGUUUUAUAUGUCAUUGGAAACUGCCCCGCCCUUUUGGCAGUAUAGGAUAGUGCCAAAAGGGCGGGGAGGAAGGUGGGGAUGACGUCAAAUCCGCAUGGCCCUCUGAUGCCCUGGGCUACACUCGUGUUACAAUGGCCGACACAAAAGGCCGCGAAGCCGUAAGGCGGAGCCAACCCUAGAAAAUCGGCCUCAGUUCAGAUUGAGGGCUGCAACUCGCCCUCAUGAAGAUGGAAUCGCUAGUAAUCGUGGGUCAGCUAUACCACGGUGAAUACGUUCUCGAGUCCUGUACUCACCGCCCGUCAAGCCAAGGGAGCCGGUAAUACCCGAAGUUCCACGUUUCGUGGGCCCACGGUAAGAUCGGUGACAAGGGCUAAGUCGU